UACGUAGGGGGCAAGCGUUGUCCGGAAUCAUUGGGCGUAAAGAGCGUGUAGGCGGCCAGGUAGGUCUGCUGUGAAAACUCGAGGCUCAACCUCGAGAUGUCGGCGGAAACCAUCUGGCUAGAGUCCGGAAGAGGAGUGUGGAAUUCCUGGUGUAGCGGUGAAAUGCGCAGAUAUCAGGAGGAACACCAAUGGCGAAGGCAGCACUCUGGGACGUGACUGACGCUGAGACGCGAAAGCGUGGGGAGCAAACAGG
rnacentral:rRNA from 1 species